rnacentral:rRNA from 1 species
CAGUCGCCGCGGUAAUACAGAGGGUGCGAGCGUUAAUCGGAUUUACUGGGCGUAAAGCGUGCGUAGGCGGCUUUUUAAGUCGGAUGUGAAAUCCCUGAGCUUAACUUAGGAAUUGCAUUCGAUACUGGGAAGCUAGAGUAUGGGAGAGGAUGGUAGAAUUCCAGGUGUAGCGGCGAAAUGCGUAGAGAUCUGGAGGAAUACCGAUGGCGAAGGCAGCCAUCUGGCCUAAUACUGACGCUGAGGUACGAAAGCAUGGGGAGCAAACAGGAUUAGAUACCCCUGUAGUCCCUGUCUCUUAUAC